GCGGGUGUGGCUCAGUGGCAGAGCACGGGCCUUCCAGGUUCGAGGCGGGCGUUCGAUUCCCCCCAUCCGCUCCA
rnacentral:tRNA from 1 species